rnacentral:lncRNA from 1 species
UCUUCUUUCCUCAUAGCCUUUGGACCAAGUACAUUGUAAGUUGAAAAGCUACAGUAACUGAAAUGAGAUGAUGAUUUGGUGCAGUUCCUCUCUCCAUUGAUCCAUGCCUUCAUGCUGCCAUCGCCAUAUACCGGACUUGCCUUAUCGCCGGCUGCAGGCUUUGUCACAGGGGCAGCGGUUCUUAUGGCUGACCUCCUCGACUCCUGGACUCCACCUUCCAAGUCCCACCACUCAAACACAACCACCAUCACUGACCCAAAUAUAGGUAUUACAUCAUUUCUUUUCCUUUUUUUUUUGUUUCUCCUUUUCUUUUCAUUUCUCGUGCAACAAUCCAAACCUCAUUCACAUCAAAAAAAAACAAUCCAGACCUCAUCCAAAAAAGCUAGUCCGAAAGAUGUCAUUCAGACUCUUUCAUCCCGUAUAAUUAUCCAAAAUCUAUCUAGUGGAUAGCUGAUAAGAGAGUAAAUACAUGCCUGCACGGCUUACAUCACAUCUACCUAUGUUCAGAAGGUACAAUUUAUCUUCCUUUUUAUUGUAUGCAUAGUGAAUGAGAUGAUGAGAAAAGAAGGCAAGAUGAUGGAAUAAACGAACCAGGAGAAGAUGGCAUUUCCGCCAUCUUCUUAUGGUAUGAGAGGUAGCUUACCAUCAAGGAUUGUUUUAUUUUCUUCUAAGCUCCUGAAUACAGUGGACGACCUGUGGGCACGGAAUUACUGUGCUGGGAGAUUUUGAUUCAUUGACGAGGUGGGAAGCUAGAAGAUGCCGAUAUGUUGUGGGAUGGAAGGAGAGCAAGGAAGACGAGGAGGAGCAACAUCGCAACUGGGAUUAAGAGGAGCAGCGGUGGCGGCGGUGGCAAAGGAGGCAGCACAAGUGGCAGCAAUAGAAGAAUCACUGCAAGCACCAGCAGCACCACCACCUUCGCAUCGAGAGCCAUCAACCCUUCUCUUCCUCCUACAUCUGCUGUUAUAUCUCAACCUUCUUCAUGAAGGAGCUCAGCAUAGUCUCUUCUUCAUGCCCCAACAGAAGUCAUACUCUAUAUGUUAUAUACCCUUACCAUCUUGCUCUCUCUUUGCAUGUAUUUAUUAGGCUGCCGACUAGCAGUCACGUGCUUCGCACAAGCUAGAAUCCAAAAAAAUAACGAGAAAGAGUAAAGGUUGUGUGCAAGCCUGGAUCUAAAAAUAGCAAGUGGAAAUGGAGGUCAGGGAGAGAUGCAAUGGAUGGGAACAUAUAAAGGUCUGCUCUACCUGGUUGUUUACUAAAUAUCACAAUAAGUUCUCCUUCCAAGGUUAGGAUACCUGAAAGUCUUUGCU